AGCCGACCUUGAAAUACCACCCUUUAAUGUUUGAUGUUCUAACGUGGACCCGUAAUCCGGGUUGCGGACAGUGUCUGGUGGGUAGUUUGACUGGGGCGGUCUCCUCCUAAAGAGUAACGGAGGAGCACGAAGGUUGGCUAAUCCUGGUCGGACAUCAGGAGGUUAGUGCAAUGGCAUAAGCCAGCUUGACUGCGAGCGUGACGGCGCGAGCAGGUGCGAAAGCAGGUCAUAGUGAUCCGGUGGUUCUGAAUGGAAGGGCCAUCGCUCAACGGAUAAAAGGUACUCCGGGGAUAACAGGCUGAUACCGCCCAAGAGUUCAUAUCGACGGCGGUGUUUGGCACCUCGAUGUCGGCUCAUCACAUCCUGGGGCUGAAGUAGGUCCCAAGGGUAUGGCUGUUCGCCAUUUAAAGUGGUACGCGAGCUGGGUUUAGAACGUCGUGAGACAGUUCGGUCCCUAUCUGCCGUGGGCGCUGGAGAACUGAGGGGGGCUGCUCCUAGUACGAGAGGACCGGAGUGGACGCAUCACUGGUGUUCGGGUUGUCAUGCCAAUGGCACUGCCCGGUAGCUAAAUGCGGAAGAGAUAAGUGCUGAAAGCAUCUAAGCACGAAACUUGCCCCGAGAUGAGUUCUCCCUGAGACUUAGAGUCUCCUGAAGGAACGUUGAAGACGACGACGUUGAUAGGCCGGGUGUGUAAGCGCAGCGAUGCGUUGAGCUAACCGGUACUAAUGAACCGUGAGGCUUAACCUUACAACGCCGAAG
rnacentral:rRNA from 1 species